GUUUCUCUUCAGAACCGAGUGUCUGUUUGGCCUCUGCCAGGUCAGGUUCAUCUGAGCCUCCAGCUUCAUUCUCUUUCAGGUCACAGAUGAUUUAAAAAGCCUCCAAACUUUACCUGCCAUUGUUAGAAGAGGAAACAAUGAGCUCCUCUGAUUCAACUGCGAAAGCCUUUAAUUAUUUGUAACUUCCUGUUUUGUAUGCAACCAUUCAUCAGUCCUCUGGUGAAUAAUCAUGACAAGACUUUGCAUUUAGAUGUAAUUUCGGCCAAAAGAUUUUAAUGUUAUGUUCUAUGUGGAAUAAGAUAACCUCACAUCUGGGCCACAAGGCCAUAUCACAGUCUUUUCUUCUGCGUUCUGAAAUACAGUAGAAAAAAAAAGGUUAAUCUUUCCAAUGAAUUCUGAAAGAUGUUUGCAAUUCAAGCGUGUAAUUCAUUAAUUCAUUUCAAUAUGUGGUGUUCUGGACUCUAUUGUAGUUAUUGUUGUGGGCAUGAAAAGAUUUGGGAUCUUUGCAUGUUGUGGUAAACCAGGCUCAGGUGCACAUCUCGUUUCCGACCCCUGCUUAGUUUUCCUGAAACUGGACUCUGGCUGCUACUUAAUAAAACAUCCUCUGCGCCGUUCGACGACCAGAGGCGCGCAAGAGGCGAAAGGCGACGCAAUCUCCCCGCCGAGCGCCGAGAUCCCGGGCUGAGAUUGAAGGAAGGAGCUCAAACACCCACCGGGAGCGGCAUGUUGAAGCCUCGGAAUCUCGGCGACGAGCCUCUGCUGCGCGACAGUCCGCAGGUGUUCGGGAAGCCCUGGUUCUGGCAGCGCUGCAGCGGCGCCGUGGACAGCAGCCGCGGCCUGGCGUGCGUCAUCAUGGAGAUGCGCGACGAGAUAAAAAAGCUGGAGGCGGAAAACCGGCAGCUGAGGGCGGAUUGUCAUCAGCUGUCAUCCGGGGAUGACCCCGGAGAGGCAGAGCAGCAGCCGGAGGAAAACCCGCACCUGAGGCGCAACGUGUCUGCGCCCGUCCUGAAGGGUCAAAAUCAAGAGACAACCAUCAUGACCGUCCGAAGAUACUCCGCAAACUGCAGCCUGGCUGGCGUGAGCGAGAGGGAGCGGGAGCGAGGGCCUGACCGAGAUCGGCGAUGCACAACCUCAGGCUGGAGAAGACUGGAACAAGAGAUCCAUCUGCAGGACAACAUGUACAGCAACCCCACCUCUGGAGAGGAGGAUCUGGUCCCCAGCAGAUGCUCCCUGCAGGAAUAUAUGCACAAAAACAGGUCAGGCUAUAUCAAAUAAUACGCUUGGAUACAGAUAACUGGUGUUUACUCACUCCCCACUGUAGUUCUGUAGUUAUGUUCCCUGUCUCUUUGGUAUUUCAGAGCCAAGGUGAAGACGGUCACCUUCCUUCUACCUGUGGACGACAUUUACACCAACAGGCCCGUUCUCAGCAAAGACCAGAACGGGUCCAGAAUCACAGAGCUGGCCUCUAUCAGUGAGACCGACUCUUGAGCGAAGCGAGCCAGAACUUUUUGCAUUCAGGAACUAAAAUACAAAGCGGGACAGCGCCUCCAGUCAGGUCACCAGACCAGUUUUAUCACACCGUGACCACAGAGGCACGAGACUCUGGUUACAGGUGUGGUUUUCAUUAGGGCCACGGAGAUCCAGGAACGUUCUCGGCAGUGAGGAUCAGAUGUCUGGGCUCUGAGUGGUGUGGUUUCUGGAACAGCUCUUUUAUAGAUGACUGCGGUCACUGACUCAGACUUUGUGUAAACAGAACCUCGUUUUUUAUUCACCUCUGUUUCUUCCGGCUGUGUGCAUAUCAUUAAGCUGUAAACACAGCAUUGUGCCCACUUUCACAUAUAUGCACCUGUGUAAAUACAACAGAAUCGGUUUGCCCUAAAACAAAUCAGCUUUAAGCUAUUUGCUAUGAUAAACAGUAUUAUUACAGAUUCAUGUUGUUAUCUAUUCUUUCUUUUUCCUUUAUGUAAUACAAUAAUUCAGGGUUUUAUGUGUUUCACAUUCACGUUUCUAAUAAUGUGUUGGUUUUAGCUAAUUUUAGCAAUGGAUUAAAGGGACAGCACACGUACAUUUAUUGCAUGUUUAAGGCAACAUCUAACCCUUAUGUACACAUUUAUUUACCCAGAAGUGAAGACAGAUAGGAUGAUGCAUGCAAAGGCUAGUUGGCUAUCUUGCUAAGAGGAGUGCUAAAUGGUUCACACAAAUGUUUGACAAUUAAGCUCAGAGAAGCACGCAGAGGCGGCUGUGGGUGUCCUGGUGAGCAGUUUCAGCUGCAGCUCUGCUCAUUUGUCCCACACCACUACUCUCUGUCUCCAUAAGGGCUGAGCAGGGCCGUGGUUCGCUGGGGUUAUCGUGGUACUUCAUCGGGAUCAAGUGUGCGUCAUCCUUGUGUUGCAUCUGAGAGCCUGUAGAACAGUUACAAAACAAGUGACAUUAAAAUGUUAAGAGUCAUUUAGAAUUAUGUGCUCAGACCUGAUCGAUCGUCCUGGCAACCAGUAAGACCCAUAAUCUGCUGCUCGGUGGCUCCUAGGUUCCUCUCCAGGAAGUAUGUGCUCAUUGUGCCUUUCCCCUUCACCUCAAUCUCUCCACGCUUCUGGAUAAGGUAGCUUUUAUCCUUCAAAGCUCUACAAAACACAAAGAGGCACAAGCCUGUCCUGCAACGAAUGUGCGUUUACACGUGAAUAUCCAGAGCCCUGCGUGCGCACUCACUGGUAGACCGUUGGGCUCAGGUGGAUUCGCUCGGGGAGGCUGUGACUCUCCAUACGUGACGCUGUGUUGACCGUGUCUCCGAACAGACAGUAUCGGGGCAUCUUCUCCCCAACCACACCUGCCAGGACUGGACCGCUGUGGAGACCCACGCGGAUCUAAGCAAUACAGGUAUUGAUCAGUCAGGGAUGCCUAAACCCAGUCCUUGAGGGGUACAAGCCAGGUUUUUUGUCCUGCCAGGCAGAAA
ensembl:lncRNA